CGACUGUUNAUUACCCUCCGACGAUCUACUCGCCGAUGUUCCAGUUACAUGCGCAUUUGAAUUUGAUUGAUUAAUACUGCUACCAGUAGCAGUCGUGCACAAAAAUCUAAAAUUAAUUGCAGCAAAAGCGGGGGGGAAAUCCGCUGUGAAAGGUCGAGAAUUUCCGGAAAGACUAUAAAAUGAGGGUUUAUUGAGACGGCAUUGAGCAGUAAGGGAGCCAUAGAUACUGCGAAGACGUAAGCUUCGAGAAAUUGACGAAGCCAUUGCUACUGGCAUUGAAAUCCUUCGUUUGAGGUUUUGGAAUUACUCGUUCCAAAGGUUAAGGGAGGUGUAUUGAUUUU
rnacentral:lncRNA from 1 species